rnacentral:siRNA from 1 species
CCGGGUUACGGUGCCCAACUGC